rnacentral:rRNA from 1 species
AUUGAACGCUGGCGGCAGGCCUAACACAUGCAAGUCGAGCGGCGCGGCGGCCGGGUGAGUAAUGCCUAGGAAUCUGCCUGGUAGUGGGGGAUAACGUCCGGAAACGGGCGCUAAUACCGCAUACUAUCAGAUGAGCCUAGGUCGGAUUAGCUAGUUGGUGUGGUAAAGGCCCACCAGGGCGACGAUCAGUAACUGGUCUGAGAGGAUGAGCAGCCACACUGGAACUGAGACACGGCCCAGACUCCUACGGUAGGCAGCAGUGGGGAAUAUUGGACAAUGGGCGAAAGCCUGAUCCAGCCAUGCCGCGUGUGUGAAGAAGGCCUUCGGAUUGUAAAGCACUUUAAGUUGGGAGGCGUUACCAACAGAAGAAGCACCGGCUAACUUCGUGCCAGCAGCCGCGGUAAUAC